CAACGGACGAAUAUUCCAGCUACUGGUCCGGCGUCCCCUACAAUCAUGCGAUUCUGAUCGCUACCAGUUCCCGAAAUCAAUCUCUUCUUCCCGAGUUCUCCACGCCUCCCCAGCUGCCUCCCGAGUUCGGAUCACCUCCAUCGUCGUCCGCCGACGCGCCUCGCCCGCAGCGCCGUCCACCACGUGUCUCCUUCCACCCCAAUCGGAGGCAGCAGAGGUGGAGAGGCACGUCGCGCCGCCACAUCUGGAGAGGGAGGGGCAGGGGAACGGACAUCACGUUGGAUGUGCUUCGCAGGUGAGUAGCAGCCAGUUUGAUUCGUUGCAUAAAUUUCUCUCUAAAGCUUCUUAAUCUGGGUUCUUUCUUCACUGCCGGCGAGGGUGUCGCCUAGGGGCGGCGGGGGCAGGGGGUCGCCGGUGGGCGACCUAUGGGAUAUGGCAGCGGACGCGAGAAGGGGUGAGGGGCCCGGGAGCCACAACGGGAGCCACGAGAGCGAGUUGGACUUGGCCAUGCUCGUCAGCGACUGCCUCAAGGGUAACGGCGGCGAGGACCCGGGCUCCCCGACCUCGGCCACUUCGCAGACAAGAUCAAGGAGUGUAGUGCAAAACAAAAUUCUACUGACAUUGCUGGCUUGCAGCUGUAACUGGUUGUCUCUCAAGUUUUGAUUGCACAGUAGUACAAUUUAGUUUCUAUGAGGUGUCGAUUGCACAAUGGUCCAAUUUAGUCUCAUUUACCAUGAUUCAUUCUAGAGACCAUUUUUCAGGCUUUUAGCCUUAUUGCCGAGGCAUGAAAUACAUCAACGUGGGCACGAUUUGUUCCCCUCCUGUAAUCUAAUCACGAGCUAGCUAAUUUGUAAUCUAAUCAACCGUGUCAUGUGCGUGCGCCCUUAUCAAUCCUGGUUCAGAGAAUGCACUGGGCUAUCUGUUUUGCUCAUUAACUUUUACCCAAAGUAAUAACUGGAUAACUUAACUUAGUGUGUUGUUGUAUGCUGAAGCUGACAUUCUGCAUAUCUGCAUGUUCCAUUUUAAAUGUACAAGAAAGCAGGAGAUGAGAAAGAAAACAAGCUGCUCUCCAUUGUUCACUCCCUCUUCUCGAUCCACGAGACAUGGCUCCAGGUUUUUGUAAGAGGCCAAUGUACUGGCAGUUCCAGUCGCCAUCUACUCAUGAAGCUCCUUAGUUACUCGAGAUACGACGCGGCGGUCUGUGUGCCCAAAUGGUAGGGCUUCGAGAAGAUACCUGGAGGUAACCCACCAGACCAAGGCUUAGCUACUUAUGUUGUUCGAUUUUCUCUAGAAAUUGUGCUGUGUGGCUGAGUACAUUGAAUAUUAGUGGACUUGGAUCAUCUUAUGGUCUGCCUAUACAUGUAACUUGAUCAUGGUAAGCUAGAUGUACCAGCACUGAUCACUUCCUUGACACUCAUCCUACACAUCUCCUUGUGAAAUAAUUGUUGGUGAUGUCCCUUGUUCAUAUUAUGUUCCUUGUAGAAAUUUUUGUUGCAAACUGAACAAGGAUAGAUGACAACAGGACAGGAACCAAAAUAUAUUGAUACCUAGCUUUGUUUUUGUUGAGUGACAUGUUUGAAUAGCAGCUUAAUUGGAAAAUUUUAACACAGUUGCAUGUGCAGUGCUUUUUAACCGACCAUAUUCUACUGAACGUCUGACUCCCCCUUAAGAUUUAGGUUGGAAAUAUACUGGAGUAAUAGUGGAAGCCACUUUUUGCUUUGGUGAUUUUGUGAAGUUCAGAUUUUGGUUUAUCACUAUUCAGACUAAUCUUUGUAACAAUUUCUUGAGAUCUGCCUACAGUACAUGAAUUUAGUAUCAGUUUACAUACUAUAUACACACAUGACAAGUUUUUUGUGGGGGAAAUUUAAUCCAGCAAAAGCAUUGUCAUUGCUAUUCCCUACAAGUUACUUGAAGAAGAAGAAAAAUGCCCUUUAGACAUUUUUAAGAAGCAAAACAAAUAUUUCUUUCUAUAAUUGCAGAAAUCCAUGGAAUCCUUGUGGUAGUCAUUUCUCCAGGUAUGGCAAAAGUCAUGGAGUCUUUACUAUUUGUACAUGUAAGUGCACACCCAAGUGCAUCGAUAUCAGUAGGCUUUCUAUAGUAUAACUGAUUUAACAUUCUGCGAAAUUCAUUUCUUGGUCUUUGCAUGACCACCUCUGCAUCGUACACAAAAGUGCUCAGAAGAAUACAUCAUGCAGUGACUCCUAUAAGGAAGGAAUGGAACGAGUAUUGAUGUUUCACUUUUAUCUGUGUUUGUACUUUGCUUUGUCCUAGGAAAUCUGGCUAAGGAUCAUCACUUUUACAGCACACAUGACACAUCAUAAUGAAACUAUUCUCCUUUCUUCUAUUGAAGUCCAUGCAUAUCAUGACAUGCAUUGGAGGACUCAAAUUUCAUUUUUGUUAUUGUUUACAUUACUUCCUAAUUAAGUCUGCUAAACAUUUGUAAAACAGAAGCUCUCUGCAAGCAUUAUAUUUUCCGCCGAAUGUGCUAUUGUACAGAACAUUUUACUUGACAUGUGAGCAAAAUAUAAUGUACAUUAUGCCGAUUAACUUUCUUCUGAACUGUUGUAUCACCACAAGGGAGAUUGUGGUAGUGUAGUACCGAGGAAUUAAUCCUCAAAUUCUUCGGACUUCUGGGAGUGGUGUACUGUAUUCUAUGGACUUCUGGGAAUUAAGCCCCAAAUUCUUUGGAGUUCCUCGCUAGAAUAUUCUAUGGUUGCAACAGUAUUUCUAUUGGGAUGCAGUUACAAUUAUCUCAAGGCUAAUGGCAUGCUAGAUUUUUUGAGUUCUGGGAGUGUUGUACAUAUGCAGAUUCUUAUAAAGGUGCAUGUAAUCAACUUCUGGCUUCCUUUUAUCUCUGCAUCUAUUGUCCAUAUUACUCAUAUAAAACUUUGAUGGUCAGUUUAUUUCCACACAAAUGAAAUUCCAUAAUUUAAUAAUCUGAUCCUCUAUUAUAAUGCUAUCAACUGUUAUUUUUCAUCAAACCAUAUGUUAUGCUUAAGCUGUCUGUUGCUUUUGUUGAUUACCAGCUUAUAUAGAUUAGUGCAAUAUAUUCUUAUAAGGUUAAGUGCCCUCCUUAGAUCUACGGGCUUUAGUAAUAGGUGCCACCACCAGUUUGAGUUCUCAUAUAUACGAUCUACGACAAUUUCAAAAGAUGAGUAAUUAGUUCAGAUCAUACUACUUUCCAUUACAGCUUUCUCUAUGUAUACUUGGAGAGCAGUGUGUGUUUUAACUACAAUAUGCAUACCCCCAUUGCACCAUAGUUCCACUCCAGGAGAUGCUGAGAUAAACUGAAAAUGGAGGAAAAAUUGUCCGACUCUUACUGCUAGCAGGUGGUACCCGCUAUGACUCCCACAGGUGGGAUUACCUUCACUGCCGAGCCUUCAAACUCAGAAGAUAACAAGCAGCCCAAAAUCCAAGAAGGAAGCUAAUUCAGUUCUUCCAAGAUUGCUAUUUUUCGGGAGGUUUUUGUUCCAACUUUGCAUUGACGACACCAUGUUCAUUUGGACAAUGUUUAUAUGUUCCUUUGAAGUUCACCCAAGAAAAUAAAAUUUCUGAAAUCUUCAUCGGAUAUUUAAUUUGAUUCCAUUUUUACUAUACAAUAGACUAAAUAGGCCACACCCAUAUAUUCUCUAUGUAGAAGUUGUUCAUCCAAUUGAUUCCCAUUGAUUUGUAACUUUUUUUGUACAAUUAUGAUUUCUUUGUGGUCUGCUUGAACCUCAGUGGCAUUCUCAAAAGAUAAUUGAUGAGUUUGUACUUUGUCCUUUUGUUUA